rnacentral:misc_RNA from 1 species
GAACGCACAUUGCGCCCUCUGGUAUUCCAGAGGGCAUGCCUGUUUGAGCGUCAUUUCUCUCUCAAACCUUCGGGUUUGGUAUUGAGUGAUACUCUUAGUCGAACUAGGCGUUUGCUUGAAAUGUAUUGGCAUGAGUGGUACUGGAUAGUGCUAUAUGACUUUCAAUGUAUUAGGUUUAUCCAACUCGUUGAACAGUUUAAUGGUAUAUUUCUCGGUAUUCUAGGCUCGGCCUUACAAUAUAACAAACAAGUUUGACCUCAAAUCAGGUAGGACUACCCGCUGAACUUAAG